rnacentral:ncRNA from 1 species
AAAAAAGCAAUGAUGAGGACAAGUAGUCAGCGGGGACGGCAUCCACAGAGAGCCGGGGUAGCUGGAAACCGGUGAUGCCGCCGCUUGACGAACUCACCUCUGAGUGCCAGCCUGAACGUUGUGCAACUAGUAAGGCUGGACGGGUGGAGAAGGCGCAGCUUCACUCGUUACUAAAAAGAGCGAUUGGCCUGCCGAUCGCUCAUGAGGUGGCCCUAUGGCCACGAAGAAGGGUGGUACCGCGGAAAGUGAACCUUUUCGCCCCUUUG